rnacentral:rRNA from 1 species
AGAUUGAACGCUGGCGGCAUGCCUAACACAUGCAAGUCGAGCGGCAGCGCGGGGGCGACCCUGGCGGCGAGCGGCGGACGGGUGAGUAAGGCAUCGGAACGUAUCCUUGAGUGGGGGAUAACGCAGCCGAAAGUUGUGCUAAUACCGCAUAAGCUCUGAGGAGGAAAGCGGGGGGACCGAAAGGCCUCGCGCUGAAGGAGCGGCCGAUGUCCGAUUAGCUAGUUGGUGAGGUAAAGGCUUACCAAGGCGACGAUCGGUAGCUGGUCUGAGAGGAUGAUCAGCCACACUGGGACUGAGACACGGCCCAGACUCCUACGGGAGGCAGC